GGGGACACAACUCCAGCCAGCCAGCCAAGGCAGGCAGGCAGGGGCCACAACUCCAGCCAGCCAGCCAAGGCAGGCAGGCAGGGGACACGACUCCAGCCAGCCAGCCAGCCAAGGCAGGCAGGCAGGGGCCACGACUCCAGCCAGCCAGCCAAGGCAGGCAGGCAGGGGACACGACUCCAGCCAGCCAGCCAAGGCAGGCAGGCAGGGGCCAUGACUCCAGCCAGCCAGCCAAGGCAGGCAGGCAGGGGACACGACUCCAGCCAGCCAGCCAGCCAAGGCAGGCAGACUGGGGCCACGACUCCAGCCAGCCAGCCAAGGCAGGCAGGCAGGGGCCAAGACUCCAGCCAGCCAGCCAAGGCAGGCAGGCAGGGGCCAUGACUCCAGCCAGCCAGCCAAGGCAGGCAGGCAGGGGACACAACUCCAGCCAGCCAGCCAAGGCAGGCAGGCAGGGGACACGACUCCAGACAGCCAGCCAGCCAAGGCAGGCAGGCAGGGGCCAUGACUCCAGCCAGCCAGCCAAGGCAAGGCAGGCAGGGGCCAAGACUCCAGCCAGCCAGCCAAGGCAGGCAGGCAGGGGCCACGACUCCAGACAGCCAGCCAAGGCAAGCAGGCAGGGGCCACGACUCCAGACAGCCAGCCAAGGUAGGCAGGCAGGGGCCACGACUCCAGCCAGCCAGCCAAGGCAGGCAGGCAGGGGCCAUGACUCCAGCCAGCCAGCCAAGGCAGGCAGGCAGGCAGGGGCCAAGACUCCAGCCAGCCAGCCAAGGCAGGCAGGCAGGGGCCAUGACUCCAGCCAGCCAGCCAAGGCAGGCAGGCAGGGGCCAUGACUCCAGCCAGCCAGCCAAGGCAGGCAGGCAGGGGCCACGACUCCAGCCAGCCAGCCAAGGCAGGCAGGCAGGGGCCACGACUCCAGCCAGCCAGCCAAGGCAGGCAGGCAGGGGACACGACUCCAGCCAGCCAGCCAGCCAAGGCAGGCAGGCAGGGGCCACGACUCCAGCCAGCCAGCCAAGGCAGGCAGGCAGAGGACACGACUCCAGCCAGCCAGCCAAGGCAAGCAGGCAGGGGCCACGACUCCAGACAGCCAGCCAAGGUAGGCAGGCAGGGGCCACGACUCCAGCCAGCCAGCCAAGGCAGGCAGGCAGGGGCCAUGACUCCAGCCAGCCAGCCAAGGCAGGCAGGCAGGGGCCACGACUCCAGCCAUCCAGCCAAGGCAAGCAGGCAGGGGCCACGACUCCAGACAGCCAGCCAAGGUAGGCAGGCAGGGGCCACGACUCCAGCCAGCCAGCCAAGGCAGGCAGGCAGGGGCCAUGACUCCAGCCAGCCAGCCAAGGCAGGCAGGCAGGCAGGGGCCAAGACUCCAGCCAGCCAGCCAAGGCAGGCAGGCAGGGGCCACGACUCCAGCCAGCCAGCCAAGGCAGGCAGGCAGGGGCCAUGACUCCAGCCAGCCAGCCAAGGCAGGCAGGCAGGGGCCACGACUCCAGCCAGCCAGCCAAGGCAGGCAGGUAGGGGCCAUGACUCCAGCCAGCC